CAGACCUUACAAUGCGACCCCAACCCCAUUACAGCCCCGGGACCCCAAUCCUGAGCCUCCCCACCAACCCAACACGUAGAUCUCACAAACGAUACCCCAACCAACAGCUCCGGGACCCGCGUGGGACCCCCCCCCCCCCCCCCCCCCCCCGCCCUCCCCCUCCCCCCCGGCCCCCACCCACCCAGCACGUAGAUCUUGCCCUGGUAGACGGUGACGCCCAGGGCGCUGCGCCGGUACCGCAUGGGGGCCACGAAGCUCCACGUGUCGCUUUCCACGUCGUAACGCUCGGUGCUGUUGAGCUGAUCCGUCCCAUCGUAGCCCCCCAUGGCGUAGAUGCAGUUGUUGAGGGCGCAGACCCCUGGGGGGGGGAAGGGGGGGGAUCGUAAGGGGGUUGGGGUGGUGGGAGGGUGGGGUGUCGUGGAUCGGGUUGAGGGUGGGAUGAUGGAAAGGUGGGAUCACAAGGAUUGGGGUCGCAGGAGGGUGGGAUUGCAAUGGUUGGGGUCAAGGAAGGGGGAGGUUGGAGGAGGAUGGGAUCCCAAGGAUUGGGGUCAUGGAGGGGUGGGACCGUGGAGAGGUGGGAUAACCAGGAUUGGGAUCAUGGAAAGGUGGGAUCAUGGAGAGGUGGGAUCAUGGAAGGGUGGGAUCAUGGAAAGGUGGGAUCANNNNACCAGGGUUGGGAUCAUGGGAGGGUGGGAUCAUGGAAGGGUGGGAUCAUGGAAUGGUGGGAUCAUGGAAAGGUGGGAUCAUGGAAAGGUGGGACCAUGGAAGGGUGGGAUCAUGGAGAGGUGGGAUCAUGGAGAAGUGGGAUCAUGGAAGGGUGGGAUCAUAGAAGGGUGGUACCACCAGUGUUGGGAUCAUGGAAAGGUGGGAUUAUGGAAAGGUGGGAUUAUGGAGAGGUGGGAUCAUGGAGAGGUGGGAUCAUAGAAAGGUGGGAUCGUGGAGAGGUGGGAUAACCAGGAUUGGGAUCAUGGAAAGGUGGGAUCAUGGAGAGGUGGGAUCGUGGAAGGGUGGGAUUAUAGAAAGGUGGGAUCAUGGAAGGAUGGGAUCAUGGAGAGUUUGGAUCACCAGGGUUGGGAUCAUGGAAGGGUGGGAUCAUGGAACAGUGGGAUUAUGGAAGGGUGGGACCAUGGAGAGGUGGGAUCAUGAAAAGGUGGGAUCA
rnacentral:lncRNA from 1 species